rnacentral:rRNA from 1 species
AAUCAACGCUGGCGGCGUGCCUCAGACAUGCAAGUCGAACGAUUAAAGCUCUCUUCGGAGAGUGCAUAGAGUGGCGCACGGGUGAGUAACACGUAAGUAAUCUACCUUCGAGUGGGGAAUAACGUCCGGAAACGGACGCUAAUACCGCAUAAUGCAGCGGCAUCGUAAGAUGACAGUUGUUAAAGAUUUAUCGCUUGAAGAGGAGCUUGCGGCAGAUUAGCUAGUUGGUAAGGUAAUGGCUUACCAAGGCUACGAUCUGUAACCGGUCUUAGAGGACGGUCGGUCACACUGACACUGAAUAACGGGUCAGACUCCUACGGGAGGCAGCAGUCGGGAAUUUUGGGCAAUGGGCGAAAGCCUGACCCAGCAACGCCGCGUGAAGGAUGAAGUAUUUCGGUAUGUAAACUUCGAAAGAAUAGGAAGAAUAAAUGACGGUACUAUUUAAAGGUCCGGCUAACUACGUG